UUUCUAAAAAUCAACUUCUAUAAAAUUGUCCUAAUGUCAUAGUAUAGACAUACCCUUAGAGAGGAAGGAGGGGGGUGAGCAGGCACUCUGGGCAGCCUUGGCUGGAGGUGACUCUCUGGCACAGGGCAGCGCACAGAAUGCUGCAAGGUCUGUCUUUCUCUGUGGCCAGAAGUAAAGGUGUACAGGCUGAGUGGAACUUACCCAAAUCUUGCAAGGGGAUGGAAAAUAAAGUUUAGGUAAGUUUCAGGUGUGUUGGCCUUGUCACUGCAAACAUUUUCUGGUUACGAAGUUCCCUGUAGAGAGAACUCCUGCAUGGAGCAAAGACAAGGUGGCUCUGCUAGAAGAAGGGGAGUACUUGUGGCACCUUAGAGA